rnacentral:rRNA from 1 species
CUGGGAAGUACGGUCGCAAGACUAAAACUCAAAGGAAUUGACGGGGACCCGCACAACGCGGUGGAGCAUGUGGUUUAAUUCGAAGCAACGCGAAGAACCUUACCAGCCCUUGACAUCCCGAUUAAGGAGAAUAGAGAUAUUUUCUGUCGGUUCGGCCGGAUCGGUGACAGAUGCUGCACGGCUGUCGUCAGCUCGUGUCGUGAGAUGUUGGGUUAAGUCCCGCAACGAGCGCAACCCCUAUCUUCAGUUGCCAUCAGGUAUGGCUGGGCACUCUGAAGGAACUGCCGGUGACAAGCCGGAGGAAGGUGGGGAUGACGUCAAGUCAUCAUGGCUCUUACGGGCUGGGCUACACACGUGCUACAAUGGUUGCUACAGAGGGCAGCGAAGCUGUGAGGCUGAGCUAAUCUUUUAAAAGCAAUCUCAGUUCGGAUUGCACUCUGCAACUCGAGUGCAUGAAGUCGGAAUCGCUAGUAAUCGCAGAUCAGCACGCUGCGGUGAAUACGUUCCCGGGUCUUGUACACACCGCCCGCCACACCAUGGGAGUUGGUUUUACCUGAAGUCAUUAGGGUAAC